CUACGGGGGGCUGCAGUGAGGAAUACUGCACAAUGGGGGGAACCCUGAUGCAGCAACGCCGCGUGGAGGAUGACGCAUUUCGGUGUGUAAACUCCUUUUAUAUGUCAAGAAAAUGACGGUAGCAUAUGAAUAAGCACCGGCUAACUCCGUGCCAGCAGCCGCGGUAGUACGGAGGGUGCAAGCGUUACUCGGAAUCACUGGGCGUAAAGGACGCGUAGGCGGGUUGGAAAGUCAGGUGUGAAAUCCUACAGCUUAACUGUAGAACUGCACUUGAAACUUCUAAUCUAGAGUAUGGGAGGGGGAGAUGGAAUUAGUGGUGUAGGGGUAAAAUCCGUAGAUAUCACUAGGAAUACCUAAAGCGAAGGCGAUCUCCUGGAACAUUACUGACGCUAAGGCGUGAAAGCGUGGGGAGCAAACAGGAUUAGAUACCCCCGUAGUC
rnacentral:rRNA from 1 species